AGCCCAAACAUUUAAAUAAUACUCUAGCUAUUUUUUCUGCUCAACUGGAUUUUUCUUGACUCAAACGAAGCACUUGUAUUGUUUACAGAUGCUCUAAUUCUGUGCAUGUGUGCACAAAUGUUCUAACAUAGGUGCUUAUAUUGUUUCAUCUACCGUGGAGGAAGCUUUCCAAAUGAUUUGUGAAUAUCUAAAGGACGAACCAGACUUGAUUCACUUUUAGUUUUUAAAAAAUAGUAUUUCUUUGCUUGUCCAUGCUCAAGCUCCAAAAAAAUUAUUUUGUUGCAGAUAAGAUAUGAAUGAGCUCAUCAAUGAUGUGACAAUCAAAAUUAGUGACGCUACAACUCGAUCAACAGCUGCAAGGGGACGUAAGCAGAAUGCUCGGGUUAACUAAGGUCACCGGAUUAUUGAACAUGAAUGCAAAUCGGAAGGCAUUUUGAGUAAUUAAAAGCAAAUAUAUUUAGCAGUUGGGAGCACAUAUUGAGUAUACUUUGCAAAUUUUGAUUCACAUUGUGCAGCAAUGAAAAUUGUAGGCAAAUCAAUAGGUAACUUUGUAGGUCUGAAAAUUGUGUUCUAAGAAACAUGAUGUUGCAUGACAUUUA